CAUCCUCCCCCAGGGUCUCUUCCACUCCUCCUCCUGCUCCUGGCUCUCUCCAGCUUCUGAACCGAGUGUGCAUGUGCUUCUUGCUGAAGGUGAUGAGGAGGCUGGGGAGAGAGCCCAUUAAAAUCCAGACGUUUUGCCUGCACAGCCCUAAACACCUGGACCUGGGGAAGCAGAGAAACAGGCUGAUUUUCUAGCAUAUCCAGCUAUUUCUCAUCCUGUGAGCACCCCUCUCUUCUCCGUCCUCCGGAAAAUCCAUUUGUCCAGAGGACGUGCACUCUGCCCGCGACGCAGCCCGCGCCUCCGUUCUCUCCCGACUUCUGCUCAGAUCCGGCUGAGCACAUCCACACAAAAGGGACAAGAGCUCUGCUUCUGUGGAACCAGCUCGGCACAGACCUUCUUCCCACGGGAUUGCCUGGGGUUGCCUAGCAAUCUGACACCACCCUGCCGCAGCAGACCCACGGUUUGGAUGGAUUCUUCCUAUUUUUAAUUUGUUCUCUGGAUCUCGCGUGCCCUCCACAGCGAUUCAGCGCUCCGCAGUGUCCCUCAGGGCUUGGACUGCAGCCCAGGGAGGAGGCCCUGUGUGCGGGACAGCAGUCAGCCAGCCUGGACGGUGGUGGGGAAACACCAGGUGUGCGUGGCAGCUCACCAGAGCCACCCUCCUGUUUGCCAGCGUAGACCAAGUCGCUUCAGAGGGCUGAAACCGGUGUUUCCAGGACAUACCAGUGGCGCUGUACAGAGAGAGGAGUAGAAAGUCCAACCAACCUGGCCCAAGUGCAGAGAAGAACCUGGAAGAGUUUCUUUUGUUGUCCAAAGGGCAGAAGGCAUUCCACCGAUGACCGCUCUCAUCUGGACAGCCACCUCCCGCCAUCCCUCUGUCCCAUCCUUGGACCUACCCUCUCUCUUGCUGGAUCACUGCUUCAGCUAGUCCUAUUGCCUGAUUUCAUGCUUUCCUCCCUUGUUUUGUUGGAGCACAUCCUGUAGCAAAUGAAAAAUGGUGUUUGGGAAAUCAUUCUUUAGGGACCUCACUUGUGCAAAUGUCUUCACUGUAGUCUCCUGUUGGACGGCUACUUUGGUGAAGUAGGACCAGAAAUCAUCAUCUGCCAGCCCGCUGAAGGCACCCCUUCGCUGUCAUGAGCUUGGCUUGCUGCUGUCGCGAAUUCAGGCGCGGUUCUCAUUCCUGGAAACCUGGGGAACUCUUUCGUUUCUCAUGAUACUAGGUGGGUUGGUUUCCAACCCUUGUGGGGAGAAUCUGAAAACUCAUUUCCUGGAAGAUUUCUUGAAUUAAGUGAUUUGUGAUUCCCUCUUUGCUCGCGCUCUCUCUGCAGGGAGGAGUCCUCGGUGGGGCUCCCGUCAACAGGUCACCCACCUUCCCCCCUUUCUCACCCCUCCCCUCUCUGUCUCUUUCCCUGCUGCUGGGACUCUCUUCUGCUUUGAUCUUUCCCGUCUGCUGAGGUUUUGGUGUGUGUGUUUGGUCCUCAUGCCUUAGUUUCCCAGCCCUUCUGGUUCUCUAAAUGUUCUCCUUACAAUAGCUUCUGCUCUUGGUUCUGGGGUGCACUAUCUCCUCGGAUCUCUUUGAGGAUAUUAAAUGUGGCUACUUCUGACA